rnacentral:lncRNA from 1 species
AGGCAGUGCCUGGCGCCGGCGCAGAAGCCGAGCAGGAGCGGAGGUGGGGGUGGGGCGGCUUCCUCCCCGCGGGCUUCGAGGAAGCGCGAGUUGGUGGUGGUGGCCGGGGAAAAAGCGUUUGACGUCAUCGUGCGUGUGGUGCCCCUGCUGCCGGGGCUGGUGAUUGGAGGAAACCCCGUGUGUGCGGAGCGGCUGUA